rnacentral:rRNA from 1 species
UUCGGCCUGGUUAUUCAUAACCCUUUGUUGUCCGACUCUGUUGCCUCCGGGGCGACCCUGCCUUCGGGCGGGGGCUCCGGGUGGACACUUCAAACUCUUGCGUAACUUUGCAGUCUGAGUAAACUUAAUUAAUAAAUUAAAACUUUUAACAACGGAUCUCUUGGUUCUGGCAUCGAUGAAGAACGCAGCGAAAUGCGAUAAGUAAUGUGAAUUGCAGAAUUCAGUGAAUCAUCGAAUCUUUGAACGCACAUUGCGCCCCCUGGUAUUCCGGGGGGCAUGCCUGUUCGAGCGUCAUUUCACCACUCAAGCCUCGCUUGGUAUUGGGCAACGCGGUCCGCCGCGUGCCUCAAAUCGUCCGGCUGGGUCUUCUGUCCCCUAAGCGUUGUGGAAACUAUUCGCUAAAGGGUGUUCGGGAGGCUACGCCGUAAAACAACCCCAUUUCUAAGGUUGACCUCGGAUCAGGUAGGGAUACCCGCUGAACUUAAGCAUAUCAAUAAG